rnacentral:lncRNA from 1 species
ACUUUAAUGAUUAUAAACAUGAUUACAAUAAUUGCUUCAAUUAAUUAUAUCAAUUUACGAAUUAUGAAUAACAUAUAAUCACAUCUCCUAAUAGAUAUUGAAAUAUUAUUUGAAAGAAAGCUCAUAUGACAUGAUUCCCAGAAGCUCUAAAAUCACCGCCAUGCUCGUGGACACACGGGCAACAGGACACGUAUGCGCAGCACAACCAGUCGUAUGCAUUCGCACAUGUAUGAGGGAGACACGUAUACGACCAGCACUUGCAUAUAUGUUGCACACAUAGAGGACGCUUGAACCCAUGCGGAUUCCAACUCCUGCAUGAAUAAGGAUUCCUACAUAUAGACAAAUUCUCGUGAGCUUGGGACCCCAUUGUAGACUUUUUAGAUUUUUUUAUGGCUCAUUAGGUAUCCUAGGCCUAAAGCCCAUCCAAGAAGACUUAAGACUGGCAGUCCAAGCAUCUAGUGUAACGGCCCCGGAAAUUUAAAUGAAAUGUAUGUAUUAAAAUCUCAAAUGCGGAAGCGUAAUAAAAAUUUUGAUUAACAUUUUUUACACAAUAACCAAAACGUACUCAAAACAUGAAGGAAUAA